rnacentral:rRNA from 1 species
GCAGAGACUUCCCCUCGUACCUUUUGCAUCAUGAUUCAGCAAGUUAACUCAAGCAAAGAGCACUCUAGUUUGCACCCCCGAAACUUGACGAGCUACUCCGAGACAGCCAUCUAUGGGCCAACCCGUCUCUGUGGCAAAAGAGUGGGAAGAUCUCCGAGUAGAGGCAAAAAACCUACCGAGCCAAGUUAUAGCUGGUUGCCCAAUAAAUGAAUACAAGUUCAGCCCUGCCUAGCCCAACUCACACCAGUUUAACGAAAAAAGACAAAGAGCUAACCCGCAGGAGUUAAUCAGAGGAGGUACAGCUCCCCUGAUAUAGGAUACAACCUUUUUAGGCGACAAAAGAAUAACACCAAGCAAGGCCCUAGGUCUCAGUGGGCCUGAAAGCAGCCAUCUGACCUGAAAGCGUUAAAGCUCCGACCAAAAGUAAAGCCUUUUAUUAAAUAUAUAUUUCUGCUCCCCUAAAUCUCAUUGGGCCUCUCCAUGCACUCAUGGAGGAGACUAUGCUGAAACGAGUAACAAGAAGAAUGAACUUCUCCACGCACAAGUGUAUGUCAAAUUGGACUAACCAUCGACAAUCAACGAACCCAACAAAAGAGGGCCCUACACGCCCGCCACCUCCGGCCAAGAAAAGCAUGUUCCCCCUAAUCGUUGCCCCGACACAGGAGUGCCAGAAAAAGGAAAGACCAAAAGAAAAAAAAGGAACUCGGCAAACCUAGACCUCGCCUGUUUACCAAAAACAUCGCCUCUUGCAUUACAAAAUAUAAGAGGUCCCACCU